UCCUUCUUCUAUUCCCAGCAUCACUCGCCCUUCCUCUUGCCGUCUGCGACCCCAACACGCCGCGGCGCGCCGCGCCCUCCCCAAGGGAGAGGAGCCUAAGCCCAUCUAGAUGUAGUAGCCCAACCCAACAAAUGACGAGGUUCUUCAUCGAGCGAAGCGACUGGGAGCGAUCGAUCCAAAUCAAUCAAUUUGGUCGUUCCCCAACCCCCCACUACUGCCAAGCCCUAGCGCCGCCGCCGGGCGCCUCCUCCAAAUCAUGUGCAUCUCUUGCAACUCCUAUUGCCGGUGUUAAUCGUCUACAUACCCGGGCAUAUUCACCGUCGUUCUGGACCGAGCACCGUUGUUGUUCCAUAGGAGGCGAUGGAAGGGUGUGGGGAUGCUGCAUCAACAGAAGAUAUUUUUUCCAUGCCAUUCGACAUAGGAGAAGUGAUGGACCUAGAUGACCCAAUGGACACGAGACCACGGUGCUCGAUGGUGAGCCGGACAAAUCCAGCGGUGGUGCCGACUGCCGAGGAUUGCCGAGGAUGCACGUGAGGUACGCUAGUGAGGUUGUUGGAGCAGAACAAUGGCAACAGCUCAGCUGGCUUUUCUGGCUACAAGGAGGUAAUCCAAAGAAAUAUAUGUCCCAGCCAAUUUCUUUUUCCCUUAUCCUGUACUGAUCAUCUAUGUACGUGUGCAUAAAACAGAACUGGUGUAUGUAAGGAUAGUUCUUGUCAGUGUUAAUCAGUAGUUCAGUACCACUCUUCUUCCAUGUGUUUUAAUCAUCUCUGUAGUCUGUAUUUGUGCACAAAACGGAACCUCAGCCAAUUGUGUGUUUAGUUUAUCAUGUACAACUUGCAGAUGUACUAAUCAUCUUUCUACAUGUGCAUAAAACUGAAACCAUGGGCCUAAGCCGAUCCAAAUCAAUCGAUUUAUGUCUUUUCAUUUUUUUUUAAUAAUUGAAUUCCAUAAGUUUUGGUGAGUAGACUUACAUUUUGUUAAAAAAAAUAGACCUUAAAUGUUCGCCCUGCCAGAUGUAAAUUGCUACAUUCAGAUUCCCUGUUGUGAUGUUGCUGAAUCUUCUGUUAUGCAUCAUAUAUCUAAUACUAUGUUGGAAAUAAAAAAUCCUUUCCCAGCUGUAAUUUCCUUCCAUAUAUGUUUAUUUCGAAAAUGUAUCCAUGUUUUGUUAAUUAGUAAGAAGAUUCCAAUCGCCGGAUGCAAAGGCCAGGGUUUUCUCCUUCCCAAAACAAAGAUUCUUAAGUGAGGACUCACGAGAACUAUCUUUUGUUCCCCUACCUUCCAUUAUUGAUUUAUCUGUGGAAGUUCCGACAAGCAAGAACCUUAUUUGUAUUUAUCGUGCUUUGAUCAUGCAUUUUUUGAUCGAUAAUUAAACCAGUAAGGUUUUCAUGAAUGCAUCUUCGUGGUUUUUGCACAGCUAUCCCCUCUAGAUAGAUAGCACAUUGAAUAACAAUGGUGGGAACUCUAAACAUUUGUGUAUGUCAACCAAAGACGUAAACACAAAAGAAGUUUGCGAUCCUUAUAUGAUUUCGGUUGACUUUUGUGCAACUGAUUCAUGCUAAACAAUUGGGAUGUCAUUUUGGUGAUCUUGUUGAAGAUUUGGUUGGAAAAGCAAGACGACAUUUUGCUUGUAGAGUCUAUCCUUUGGUUGGAGCUGUACGACCAAAAAUUUCAAGGCUUAUUGGAUUAUUGGAAGAACUUGUGUUGUCAAUGUUAUAGUGUCGCGUAUUUGAUUUUUGUAGGCACCAAAUUGGAAUCCCUGGGGCUGCUUUAAAUCUGCUUUUGAUUCGUUUUUCCCUAGUGAUGUGAUACCGUUUACACUUUUGUAGGCACCAAAUUGGAGCCGUUGUGUCUCCUGUUUUCAAACCUGUCUUAGUGAGCCAAGUCAAUCUGGCAUUGUGCAUUUGCAGAUGUUCCAAGAAUUCAAUUACUCAAGCAUGGCAAGUAGUGAAAAGAUUGGAGGAGCCAGUAAAUUUGAAGUUAGCGAGGAUGGAGUAACAGAUGCACUUAAUGCCCAAUAAAGCUACUAUUGAAGAGGGUAUCGUGCCAGGAUGUGGUGGUGUUACCCUUCUAUAUGCAUCAAAGGCUUUCGAUAGAUUGUGUCCUCCUGACAAAGGGUAUUUUAGAGGUUGCAGAUGACCCCUUCGAGAACCCAUGUAAAUGCCAACAUUGUUCACUCUUAACCAAUGUCAACUAGCUACCAACAAUAUUUAUCUAUGCUAUAUGCAGCCAAAUAGAUGUUUGUUUUGUUAGAUAGGUGUGCAGUAGGAAGAGUGUGGAUCGGAACUACUAUUCUAACUUUUUGACUCAGAACUUCUAAAUUUGUUUUCCUUUUAUGCACUACCUAAGAUGUACUAUCAGUAUUAUUCUUGGUUGGUCAUGUUUAAAUAUUUGUGUGAUGUUUUUUCCCUA